AGUGAACGCUGGCGGUAGGCCUAACACAUGCAAGUCGAACGGCAGCACAGUAAGAGCUUGCUCUUACGGGUGGCGAGUGGCGGACGGGUGAGGAAUACAUCGGAAUCUACUUUUUCGUGGGGGAUAACGUAGGGAAACUUACGCUAAUACCGCAUACGACCUACGGGUGAAGGCAGGGGAUCUUCGGACCUUGCGCGAUUGAAUGAGCCGAUGUCGGAUUAGCUAGUUGGCGGGGUAAAGGCCCACCAAGGCGACGAUCCGUAGCUGGUCUGAGAGGAUGAUCGGCCACACUGGAACUGAGACACGGUCCAGACUCCUACGGGAGGGAGCAGUGGGGAAUAUUAGACAAUGGGCGGAAGCCUGAUCCAGCCAUACCGCGUGGGUGAAGAAGGCCUUCGGGUUGUAAAGCCCUUUUGUUGGGAAAGAAAAGCAGCAGGUUAAUACCCCGCUGUUCUGACGGUACCCAAAGAAUAAGCACCGGCUAACUUCGUG
rnacentral:rRNA from 1 species